CCUACGGGCGGCAGCAGUGGGGAAUCUUCCGCAAUGGGCGCAAGCCUGACGGAGCAACGCCGCGUGAGUGAAGAAGGUCUUCGGAUCGUAAAGCUCUGUUGACGGGGACGAACGUGCCAAGGGUGAAUAAUCCUUUGCAAUGACGGUACCUGUCGAGGAAGCCACGGCUAACUACGUGCCAGCAGCCGCGGUAAUACGUAGGUGGCGAGCGUUGUCCGGAAUCAUUGGGCGUAAAGGGAGCGCAGGCGGGCAUGUAAGUCUUUCUUAAAAGUUCGGGGCUCAACCCCGUGAUGGGAAAGAAACUAUGUGUCUUGAGUACAGGAGAGGAAAGCGGAAUUCCCAGUGUAGCGGUGAAAUGCGUAGAUAUUGGGAGGAACACCAGUGGCGAAGGCGGCUUUCUGGACUGCAACUGACGCUGAGGCUCGAAAGCCAGGGGAGCGAACGGGAUUAGAUACCCGUGUAGUC
rnacentral:rRNA from 1 species